rnacentral:rRNA from 1 species
CCUACGGGAGGCAGCAGUGGGGAAUUUUGGACAAUGGGCGAAAGCCUGAUCCAGCAAUGCCGCGUGUGUGAAGAAGGCCUUCGGGUUGUAAAGCACUUUUGUCCGGAAAGAAAUCCUUGGCUCUAAUACAGUCGGGGGAUGACGGUACCGGAAGAAUAAGCACCGGCUAACUACGUGCCAGCAGCCGCGGUAAU